rnacentral:lncRNA from 1 species
UACUUUACUCUCUUUGCAUUAUCAUUUAAGCUCAUGAAAACUUGCCUAUUGUCUAUCUUUUCCUUUAAAUGAGAAAUUGAAAAAAAGUACAAGUCUUCGUCUUCCACAAUCUCAGGUAUGGAAUCCAAUAUCUCUAUAAGGUCCUCAUAAGAACCGACUAAACUGGUUGCAUUGGAUGCAGCACUGGUAGUACUCCUACUCUCAACAACUGUAAGCAGCCUGUUAAUUUGUGAUCCAAGCUCCUCUCUUGUGCUCAAUUUCUUAUCUUUCUUUCCUCGAGCUUGCAUCUUUGAAGUCUGUGUGGCUCUCUUACGAGUUUGAGUUCCAGUUGGUUCAUCCACGUGAUCCUCAAAGUUUUCAUCAGUAGAC